UACGUAGGGGGCAAGCGUUGUCCGGAUUUAUUGGGCGUAAAAGAGCGUGUAGGCGGCCUUGCAAGUCCGUUUGUGAAAACUCGAGGCUCAACCUCGAGACGCCGGUGGAAACUGCAAAGCUAGAGUCCGGAAGAGGAGAGUGGAAUUCCUGGUGUAGCGGUGAAAUGCGCAGAUAUCAGGAGGAACACCCGUGGCGAAAAGCGGCUCUCUGGGACGGUACUGACGCUGAGACACGAAAAGCGUGGGGGAGCAAAACAGG
rnacentral:rRNA from 1 species